rnacentral:snRNA from 8 species
AUACUUACCUGGCAAGGGAGAUACCGUGAUCAAGAAGGCGGUUCACCCAGGGCGAGGCUCAGCCAUUGCACUCCGGCUGUGCUGACCCCUGCGAAUUUCCCAAAUGUGGAAAUCUCGAUUGCAUAAUUUAUGGUAGUGGGGGACUGCGUUCGCGCUCGCCCUGA